rnacentral:misc_RNA from 1 species
UCAAACUUGGUCAUUUAGAGGAAGUAAAAGUCGUAACAAGGUUUCCGUAGGUGAACCUGCGGAAGGAUCAUUAACAAUUAUCCUACUCGAAAAUGGAUAAUUUUAUCCAUAUCCACCUUGUGUGCAUUAUUGAAGUGUUUGUUGGCAGGUUUUGUCUUUCUUACGAGAAAAGCAAUUGGGUUUUUGGCGCAGACGUGCCAAGGCUCGGCCUGCCAAUUUUUAUCACAUUCAAAACAUGUCUAAAAUACAUCUGUCUAAAACUAUUAAUUUUAUAAUAAAUACAACUUUCAACAACGGAUCUCUUGGCUCUCGCAUCGAUGAAGAACGCAGC